GAAGGACCGGCUGCAUCGUGGCUCCUGGGGAUAUAAAGGUGAAGAGAGAUUCACAUCUUUUAAAGCCUGCAUGAAGAAGGAACUCACUGCUAAAUAGGCGAAAGUCCCGCUGAGUGUUUCUCUUCACCUUCACAUCACACUGAAGAAAUCUCAUGUUGGAUUAAAGUUCUCAGUGACUCGAUGCAAUUAUCUACCUAACCUGUGUCAAACUCUGUAAGAUACAAAUACUGCCAUAAUUAGAUUAACACAUGCUACCUCCCUAGACUGUAGUCACAGCUUUGUCACUCGGCUGGCACUUUCUGAACUCUUUAAAAGCCAUUAACAUGAAAUAGCCAUGAUACUUUUAUUAAUCAAAGAGUUAUUUAUUAAAGUUCUUAUAAAUUUAAAUGGGUCCAGUGCCCACAUUUUGGGAUAAAUUAUGUUGUUUAAUUAUUUACAAAGUAGUGUCUUUAUUUAUGAUGAUAUAUUACUUAAUAAGUUUAAAGGGAACUGUGUUGAAGUGAAAAGUGCUGAAUUCUUAUGGCGUGUACAGUUAUUUAUUCUAUUUAUUGAUCUAUUUUGUGUA